rnacentral:rRNA from 1 species
CUUAAUGAGAAAAAUAUUAAGUCUAACCUGCUCUAUGAAAUUUUAAAUGGCCGCGGUAUUUUGACCGUGCAAAGGUAGCAUAAUCAUUUGUUUUUUAAUUGAAAGCUGGAAUGAAAGGUUGAAUGAAAAAAUAACUGUCUUUAUAUAAAUUUUAAVAUUUUAUUUUUAAGUUAAAAAGCUUAAAUUUAAUUUGAAGACGAGAAGACCCUAUAGAGUUUAAUAGUUAAAUUAUUUUAUUAAUUUAGAAUUUAAUAAUAUAAAUUAAUUUUAUUAUUUGAUUGGGGUGAUUGAAAAAUUUAAUUAACUUUUUUUUAUAAUAACAUAAAUUAAUGAAAAAAUGAUCCUUAGUAAAGAUUAAAAGAUAAAAUUACCUUAGGGAUAACAGCGUAAUUUUUUUAAAGAGUUCAAAUCGAAAAAAAAGAUUGCGACCUCGAUGUUGGAUUAAAAUUAAAGUUUGGUGUAGAAGCUAAA